rnacentral:rRNA from 1 species
GGUUUGAUUCUGGCUCAGAUUGAACGCUGGCGGGAUGCCGUAUACAUGCAAGUCGAACGGCAGCACGGACUUCGGUCUGGUGGCGAGUGUAUGAACUGGGUGAGUAAUGUAUCGGAACGUGCCUAGUAGCGGGGGAUAAACGCAUGAUGCUGUGGUUAAUACCGUACAUUGCCUCGGGGGAAAGUAGACCGGCCUCGCACUAUUAGAGCGGCCGAUAUCGGACAUAGUUGGUGGGUAACGGCUCAUCAAGGCGACGAUCCGUAGUUGGUUUGAGAGGACGACCAGCCACACUGGGACCGAGACACGGCCCAGACUCACGGAGGCAGCAGUGGGGAAUUUUGGACAAUGGGAACCCUGAUCCAGCCAUCCGCGUGUGCGAUGAAGGCCUUCGGGUUGUAAAGACUUUUGCAGGAAAGAAACGGCACGGGAUAAUACCCCGGGUGCAACUGACGGUACCUGCAGAAUAAGCACCGGCUAACUACGUGCCAGCAGCCAGUGGGUAAUACAGGUGCAAGCGUUAAUCGGAAUUACUGGGCGUAAAGCGUGCGCAGGCGGUUCGGAAAGAAAUACGAAAUCCCAGAGCUUAACUUUUGAACUGUAUUUAACUACUGAGCUAGAGCAGGCUAGAGGGAGGGAAUUCCGCGUAGCAGUGAAAUGCGUGAUAUGCGGAGGAACACCGAUGGCGAAGGCAGCCUCCGAUAACACUGACGCCUGCGUAAUGCGAAAGCGUGGGGAGCAAACAGGAUUGAUACCCUGUAUCCACGCCUUAAACAUACGAACUAGCCGUUGGGGCCUGGCCUUUGCAGCGCAGCUAACGGCAGAAGCUGACCUGCCUGUGAGCAUUGGUCGGUGAUUUAAAAACUCAAAGGAAUUAUUUGCAUCCGCACAAGCGGUGGAUGAUGCGGAUUAAUUGAUGCAACGCGAAAAACCUUACCUACCCUUGACAUGUCUGAAUCCUGAAGAGAUCGGGGGAGUGCUCGCAAGAGAACCGAACUAUGAGCGCAUGGCUGUCGUCAGCUCGUAAAGGAGAUGUUGGGUUAAGUCCUGCAACGACGCAACCCUUGUCAUUAGUUGCUACGAAAGGGCACUCAAUGAGACUGCCGGUGACAAACCGAGGAAGGGUGGGGAUGACGUCAAGUCCUCAUGGCCCUUAUGGGUAGGGGGCUUCACACGUCAUACAAUGGUCGGGAUGAGGUCACAACCCGAGGGAGCCAAUCCUCAGAAACCCGAUCAAAUCCGAUCGUGCCUGCAACGACUGCGUGAAGUUCGAAUCGCCACAAUCGCGGAUCAGCAGCGUCGCGGUGAAUACGUUCUGCCCGAAGCACACCGCCCGUCAUGCAUCAUGGAGUGGGUUUUACCAGAAGCAGUUAUCAUCCAAGAGGUGAUUACCACGCAGAUUCGGCGAUCGUCAGGGAAGUCGUAACAAGGUAACUCCAGCCACCCGAUGGUUCCA